UAAAUUGCAACUCGCGCCGCGCCGUGUUUAUCAUUAAAAAAGAUAAAAAGGGCCGUAAUUCGUUGGCUGCAGUGCCGCCGCUGGAAUGCUGCCAGGUAACAAGCACCAAACGUGAAUUACGCACCAAGGGACACUUUGAAAGAAGAUAGAAGACGAGGCGGAUUUGCUCUCUUGUGUUGUUUAGCGUUCGUGUGAGAACCUUUUUUUCGCUGCUUUUCUCGUCUUUAGCAACAUCCGUGUCUUUGCGGUAAUGAUUUAUAUUUGCAGCGUCUUUUGUCACAGCGGAAUUUUUUGCAAUGAAUAAAAACGAGCUGCUUUUCUCAAAUGUAGCCAAAAAACUUAAAUUUGAAUAAAAUUGGUCAUUUUCCGUUAAAACCUGGUAAGCAUUUUCAUGGUUGCUCUCCAGGUGAUUAGAUAGCACCGUUGAGGGUGAAAACGAGAGCCGCUAAUAAAGGUGCUCACACAGCAAAUAGGAUGUGGUUUGCCGGGCCGUAAUCAGAGAAGCUGUGGGUGCACUUUCGGCCACCUCGAUGACAAACACAGCUAAAGGGCUUCCCCUCUGCAGCCGCGCCGAGAUCGAAAUGAGGGGGAUGCGCGAGCAAUCAACAGGAGCCCUGGGGCCACUCGUUGCGGCUGCCGUUUUACCCAGAAAAAUGAGAUUUGCCACCAAGAGGAAAUUGUAAAUCAGAGUUAAAUUGGAUUUCAUCCGAGAUUCACUUUUGGCACCAGGAAAACAUCUCCAUCUAGGCCGCAAGAGAUGAAAAUGUUGACAUCAAAGAAUCUGUUACGUUUUAUUUAUAAAAAUGCGCACGUCGACAAAUAAGGCAGCGUUUAUGAGAAAUCGUUCUGCGGAGAGAUCGUUUUCAUUCUUCGCUUGCUCAUUUUCCACAUUCGCUCCAUAUUGAGAAAAAUAUAUUCAAAACGCGGCUGUCCAGCACGCAUAGCGCGGUGUCCAAUUACUUAGGAGCUGUCGUUGGAGAAAAUGAAAACAACAAACAGCGUCAAAGUGCGUCACUCGCGCGGUGCCGAAGAAAGAGACAAGACAUCCUGUCUACCAAAACAUACCAAAUCACCACUAAUGGAGCCGGUGAGAUUUAUUAACGCCACGUCGACGGCCCGAGUCACUAUUUUUAAGCAAUUACACGCCACGACUUUUUGUCUCCGACGACGUGUAACAGCGAAAAGCUAAAUAGAGGACCUUGGAGAGUGUCUUGCUUGCACCUGUUACUUUUUAUAAUAUAUUCUUAUAAAUCAGUGUGGAUUUGUGUGUGAGAUUAAAAUAAUGUCGAAAUUAUUUACAUCUAUUCUGUAAAAUAAUUUUUAAUUUUAAUAAAAUAUUUUAGUGAAGAAAUUAACACUCAAGGAGACAAUCAAGGAAGUCAAUAUUAAUCGAUAAAAAUAUAAUAAAUCACAUAAAAAUAAACAAAUAAAUACAUAAAAAUAAUUAAAAAUAAAAUAUAAUUUGUUUGUAGAAAUUGACAGUCUACAAGAUGAUGAUGGAAGUCAAUAUUAAUAAAGAUUAUGAUAAAUUUCUGAAGUAAAAAAAACGUCAGUAGAAAUGAAUGUAAUUAAAAAAGUAUCUGAUUUCUUUGAGGAAAUUGACACUUGUAGAGAUGAUUAUUUUUGAAUAAAAACAA